rnacentral:rRNA from 1 species
UACGUAGGGGGCAAGCGUUAUCCGGAUUUACUGGGUGUAAAGGGAGCGUAGACGGCGAUGCAAGCCAGAUGUGAAAGCCCGGGGCUCAACCCCGGGACUGCAUUUGGAACUGUGCUGCUAGAGUGUCGGAGAGGCAGGCGGAAUUCCUAGUGUAGCGGUGAAAUGCGUAGAUAUUAGGAGGAACACCAGAGGCGAAGGCGGCUAACUGGACUGUAACUGACGCUGAGGCACGAAAGUGUGGGGAGCAAACAGG